rnacentral:rRNA from 1 species
UACGUAGGGGGCAAGCGUUGUCCGGAAUCAUUGGGCGUAAAGAGCGCGUAGGCGGCCCAGUAAGUCCGCUCUGAAAGUCAGGGGCUCAACCCCUGAAUGCGGGUGGAUACUGCUGGGCUAGAGUCCGGAAGAGGCGAGUGGAAUUCCUGGUGUAGCGGUGAAAUGCGCAGAGAUCAUGAGGAAGACCAGUGGCGAAGGCGGGUCUCUGGACAGUUCCUGACACUGAGACACGAAGGCCAGGGGAGCAAACGGG